GUAAACGGGUGGCGUCAAGCUGCGAACCCAGAGGAUUCAGCUGGCUAGGAUGUUGUGAUGCGCCUGGCGCAUCCAUCAGUCGGAAUAAGAUGUGAUAGUCCACUGGGAGACGGUGGGCCCGGCCGUAAGGUUGGGAUAUGUGUACCGGGUGUUAGCCGGAGCAUGCUAUUCAUCUGUUGGGCUGUCUAGUCAGUGCAUUUUCUCUGUGGUGAACACCACGACCGGUGGAAUUGCCAGUCUGCUGUAGUCGAGUCUUGCUGAGAGGGUCCUUGUGGCCAACUUGGUGAGAUCACAGGCAAUGUCAGUGUACGGCGUGGGAGUGCCUUUGGUGUUCCUACGUGUUAUCGGGCGCUGCUUGUCAACGGGCCUGCUCGGCGGUUGUUGUAACUGCUGCUGGGUGGUCUGGUGGGCUAUGGUGGUAAGAAUAACUGUGCAAGGCACCGGAGUUGGCGGCUCCAAAUGCGCUCUGCACUGGCAUGUUACAAGUGCGAGGGGGUGCCAUUGCGGUCUGCCUGUUGUUGAGUCUGAUUGUCGUGUCGCCUGCGCAAAGUGGGCCCGGCAGUGGCUUGAUGCAGGAUGGGCUGUGGAUGGUGUCUCUCAGGUGUAGAGUGCAGGGAGCCCAAUAGUCAGUGGUGCUGUGGUAGACGAGCUACCCGACCCGUCUUGAAACACGGACCAAGGAGUUUAACAUGUAUGCGAGUCAAGGGGUCCUACGAAACCCAAAGGCGCAAUGAAAGUAAAGCUUCGACUUGUCUCGGAGUGAGGUGAGAUCCUGCCGUAACUCGCAUCGCUUGGUGCCAGCAUCAGGCAAAGAGCGGUGGGCGCAUCACCGGCCCNGUCUUUAUGAUGUGGUCAUUGGAUGUCUGCGGUCGUUCUUGU
rnacentral:rRNA from 1 species